rnacentral:rRNA from 1 species
UAAAGAUUUUAAGGGCGUACGGUGGAUGCCUUGGCGAUAUCAGCCGAAGAAGGACGCGGUAAGCUGCGAUAAGCUACGGAGAGGUGCAAGCAACCUUUGACCCGUAGAUUUCCGAAUGGGGGAACCCGGCAGUGGUUAUGCACUGUCACCCAUAGCUUAGACUAUGAGGAGGGCACCCGGGGAACUGAAACAUCUAAUUACCCGGAGGAAAAGUAAUCAAACGAGAUUUUCUUAGUAGCGGCGAGCGAACGGGAAAGAGGCCAAACCGGAGCGGGCAACCGCACCGGGGUUGAGGACAGUCAUCAAGUGUAAAUGAGGUAGAAGAAUCGAGUUGGAAAGCUCAGCCGCAGAAGGUGAAAGCCCUGUAAUCGAAACCUUGCAUACAUGGGACUGUAUCCAGAGUACCACGAGACACGUGAAACCUUGUGGGAAGCAGGGGGGACCACCCUCCAAGCCAAAAUACUGAUAUCGACCGAUAGCGCAUAGUACCGUGAGGGAAAGGUGAAAAGAACCCCUGGCGGGGAGUGAAAGAGAACCUGAAACCGUAUGUCUACAAACAGUCGAAGUCUGUAUAUAUAUCAGGACGACGGCGUGCCUAUUGAAGAAUGAACCGACGAGUUACUGUUGCUAGCGAGGUUAAGUGGAAAACACGGAGCCGCAGCGAAAGCGAGUCUGAACAGGGCGUUCAGUUAGUAAUAGUAGACCCGAAACCGUAGUGAUCUAUCCAUGGCCAGGUUGAAGCACAGGUAAAAUUGUGUGGAGGACCGAACUCGUGAGCGUUGAAAAGCUUUGGGAUGAGUUGUGGAUAGGGGUGAAAUGCCAAUCGAACACGGAGAUAGCUGGUUCUCCCCGAAAUAGCUUUAGGGCUAGCCUCGAGGUUGAGAGUAUAGGCGGUAGAGCACUGAUCGGGCUAGGGGCCAUACCGGUUACCGAACCUAGUCAAACUACGAAUGGCUAUACUUAUACUCGGGAGUCAGACAGUGAAUGAUAAGGUCCAUUGUCAAGAGGGAAACAGCCCAGAACACCGACUAAGGUCCCAAAUGUUACACUAAGUGGCGAAGGAUGUGGAAUUUCCAAAACAACCAGGAUGUUGGCUUAGAAGCAGCCACCAUUUAAAGAGUGCGUAAUAGCUCACUGGUCGAGAGACUCUGCGCCGAAAAUGUCCGGGGCUAAAGUGUAAAACCGAAGUCGUGUCAUAUGCAGCAAUGUAUAUGGGUAGGGGAGCGUUCUCAUUGGGUUGAAGCAGUACCGUAAGGAGUUGUGGACUGAUGAGAAGUGAGAAUGUCGGUAUGAGUAGCGAAAAGAAUGGUGAGAAUCCAUUCCACCGAAAGCCUAAGGGUUCCUGAGCAACGAUCGUCGUCUCAGGGUAAGUCGGGACCUAAGCCGAGGCGGAAAAGCGUAGGCGAUGGACAACAGGUUGAAAUUCCUGUACCGGUGUGAAUCGUUUGAUCGAUGGAGUGACACAGUAAGGUAGGUCAGCACGCGAUUGGAAGUGCGUGUUUAAGCAUGUAGGUUGAGCUAUAGGCAAAUCCGUAGCUCUAAAAGCUGAGAUGUGAUGACGAGUUACUAGCGAUAGUAACGAAGUGAUUGAUCCUACACUGUCGAGAAAAGCUUCUAGGUAGAGACACAUCGCCCGUACCAAAACCGACACAGGUAGGCGGGGAGAGAAUCCUAAGGUGCGCGGGAAAACCCUCGUUAAGGAACUCGGCAAAAUGCCUCCGUAACUUCGGGAAAAGGAGGACUCAUGUAGUGUGAAGUGCAGCAACGCAUGGAGCAUGAAUGAGUGGCACAAGAGAGGCGCAAGCGACUGUUUACCACAAACACAGGUGCCUGCUAAAGCGAAAGCUGAUGUAUAGGUGCUGACACCUGCCCGGUGCUGGAAGGUUAAGAGGAGGGGUUAGACUUCGGUCGAAGCUCUGAAUUGAAGCCCCAGUAAACGGCGGCCGUAACUAUAACGGUCCUAAGGUAGCGAAAUUCCUUGUCGGGU